GUAAUGCCCACCCAAGCCUAUACAAGUACGGGCUCUGAGAGGAGGGGCCCGGAGAUGGUUACUGAGACACGGACCCAGGCCCUAUGGGGCGCAGCAGGCGAGAAACCUUUGCAAUGUGCGAAAGCACGACAAGGUUAAUCCGAGUGUCUCCUGCUAAAGGAGUCUUUUGUCAGUUGUAGAAUCACUGGUGAAUAAGGGGUGGGCAAGUUCUGGUGUCAGCCGCCGCGGUAAAACCAGCACCUCGAGUGGUCAGGAGGUUUAUUGGGCCUAAAGCAUCCGUAGCCGGUUGCAUAAGUUUUCGGUUAAAUCUAUGCGCUUAACGUAUAGGCCGCCGAAAAUACUGUGCAGCUAGGGAGUGGGAGAGGUACACGGUACUCGAUAGGAAGGGGUAAAAUCCUUUGAUCUAUUGAAGACCACCUGUGGCGAAGGCGGUGUACCAGAACACGUUCGACGGUGAGGGAUGAAAGCUGGGGGAGCAAACCGGAUUAGAUACCCGGGUAGUCCCAGCUGUAAACGAUGCAGACUCGGUGAUGCAUUGGCUUGUGGCCAAUGCAGUGCCGCAGGGAAGCCGUUAAGUCUGCCGCCUGGGAAGUACGUACGCAAGUAUGAAACUAAAGGAAUUGGCGGGGGAGCACCACAAGGGAUGAGCNUGCGGUCAAUUGGAUCAC
rnacentral:rRNA from 1 species